GUGCUGUCGGUGUCAGGUACCAUCUGGUAAAUAUCUUAUACGAGUUUUCUUGUGUGCGUGCCGAGCUCGGUGUUUUCUGUAUCAGGGUCAUGCUUUUAUCCCAAUCUGCUUCCGUCGUCUGCUCCUUCAAGUCUUCUUCCCACUUUCUGAUGCACGGUGGUGCUAGGAGGUAUCUGCUCGUUAUCAGGAUAGUGUAUAUUUGUGAGAUGGCUCGUGGUGGUUCCUUGUCCUGUGUGCAUAAGUUCUCGAAUUGUGUUGGUUCCCUCGUGAUUGCCGGUCGCUGCGGGAUGGAUCCGGCGUAUUUGGUGAUUUGGGCUCUUGCUAGGGUGUGGGCAAGUGUGUGUGUGUGUGUGUGUGUGUGUGUGGUCUGCCUGGGUAGAUGUCCGCCAAUGGUCUGAUUUCAAACGGGUGGUGGAGGACAUCUUUCAUGCGGGGUACCCCUGUCUGUCCGGCGGGCCUGGUGUGGGGCCAUAUUCCCCUGCCG